GGGGCUGCAGCUCAGGGGUAGAGCGCUUGCCUCGCAGGCACGAGGCCCUGGGUUCGGUUCCCAGCACCA
rnacentral:tRNA from 1 species